rnacentral:sRNA from 1 species
GGAAAAACAGAAGGAGGGAGAAGGAGGCAGGACUGAGAGAGGAGGGGACAGAGAGGUGUCCUGGGCCUGACCCCACCCAUGAGCCUGAGAGGUGCUCCUGCCCUGGGAAGAGGCUCAGCGCAGAAAGAGGAAGGACAGCACAGGUGACAGCCGUGCUCAGGAAGUUUCUGGAUCCUAGGCUCAUCUCCACUGAGGAGAACACGCAGGCAGCAGAGACCAUGGGGCCCCUCUCAGCCCCUCCCUGCACACAGCGCAUCACCUGGAAGGGGUUCCUGCUCACAGUGGAGACUCCCAAGCCCUCCAUCUCCAGCAGCAACUUAAACCCCAGGGAGGCCAUGGAGGCUGUGAGCUUAACCUGUGAUCCUGAGACUCCGGAUGCAAGCUACUGGUGGUGGAUGAAUGGUCAGAGCCUCCCUAUGACUCACAGGUUGCAGCUGUCCGAAACCAACAGGACCCUCUUUCUAUUGGGUGUCACAAAGCAUACUGCAGGACCCUAUGAAUGUGAAAUACGGAACCCAGUGAGUGCCAGCCGCAGUGACCCAGUCACCCUGAAUCUCCUCCGUGAGUAUCUUCUGUACCUCUGUGAGCCAGGCUGCCAUCCCAAAUACACAUGGCCAGAGGCCAGGCCUCUCAGUCCCUCUCAGGUCCAAGUACAGAGACCUUUA